UCUCUCUCCCUCACCUCUGCUUCUUCUGUUCUGCACUCAGCUACUCACUACAUAAUGAUGUGUGUUGGACAUUUCGUCCAAUACGUACAACUGCAAAUGAAACAUCCAUGAUACCCAAAUUCAACAAUCCAUAAUGGCCAAUCCAGUAUUAGCCAUCAUUAUUCCAUUGUGAUCCAUAAAAUAAGCCAAUAAAAUAUUUAAUGUUUUUCCUGAUCAAGUACUUCCUAUAAACAAGGGAUUGCAGAUAAAAAGCUCCCGUGAACGUGCCAUUCCAUAGGAAUUACACCAGAUUUACAAAAUUUGAGAUACGUGUGCCUUGGUUUCCCACAAACAGAUUCUUGUUAACAGCAAGGAGCACAUAGUAGUUAG
rnacentral:misc_RNA from 1 species